UCCCAGUGUAGAGGUGAAAUUCGUAGAUAUUGGGAAGAACACCGGUGGCGAAGGCGGCGACCUGGUCCGAUACUGACGCUGAGGCGCGAAAGCGUGGGGAGCAAACAGGAUUAGAUACCCUGGUAGUCCACGCCGUAAACGAUGUGUGCUGGAUGUUGGGCGGUCUGACCGUUCAGUGUCGUAGCUAACGCGAUAAGCACACCGCCUGGGGAGUACGGCCGCAAGG
rnacentral:rRNA from 1 species